rnacentral:rRNA from 1 species
UUUAAUUGAAGAGUUUGAUCAUGGCUCAGAUUGAACGCUGGCGGCAGGCCUAACACAUGCAAGUCGAGCGGCAGCACAG